UACGUAGGGGGCGAGCGUUGUCCGGAUUUAUUGGGCGUAAAGAGCGCGUAGGCGGCCAGGUAGGUCCGUUGUGAAAACUCGAGGCUCAACCUCGAGACGUCGAUGGAAACCAUCUGGCUAGAGUCCGGAAGAGGAGAGUGGAAUUCCUGGUGUAGCGGUGAAAUGCGCAGAUAUCGGGAGGAACACCAAUGGCGAAGGCAGCUCGCUGGGACGUGACUGACGCUGAGGCGCGAAAGCGUGGGGAGCAAACAGG
rnacentral:rRNA from 1 species